rnacentral:rRNA from 1 species
UACGGGGGGGGCAAGCGUUGUUCGGAAUUACUGGGCGUAAAGGGUGCGUAGGCGGCGGGGUAAGUCAGGUGUGAAAUCUCGGGGCUCAACCCCGAAACUGCACUUGAUACUGCCUCGCUUGAGUACUGGAGAGGAGACUGGAAUUUACGGUGUAGCAGUGAAAUGCGUAGAUAUCGUAAGGAAGACCAGUGGCGAAGGCGGAGUC